rnacentral:lncRNA from 1 species
AUCUUCAGGAAAGACAUUAUGAAACUCACUAAGAAGGCUAGCUACUUCUUUAGGAUAAUCCAUCUUAGAAUCCUCACGAACUUCUCUAGCAGCAAGCAUCUAAACUGGUGAUCCUUCACUUAUGGUCGUCUCUAAUUCUUUAGCACCUAUCAGAUGGAGGCUUUUCUUCUUGAGGUUUUCUUUUGGUCCAUUGCCUAUCUUUCUAUUAGUAGCCUUAGGUGAGGAAUGAUUAAUCGUGAUCUUACGGGAGUUGGUUCGGCCAUAAAUCAUAACAUCAUUAUCGAAUAGCCAAGAUCGACCUAAUAUGAUACUUCCGACUUCCAUGGGUAAGACAUCGCACCACACAUGAUUCUGGUAGGAAUGAAGCUGGAUGGGCACACGGUAUCUAAAUUUGAUGAGAAUAGAGGAGGAAUCAAUCCAAGACACACGGUAUGGACUGGGAUGAUCCACAGGAGUUAAUCCUAAUCGCUUAACCGUGUCGGUGGAGAUGGCGUUGAUACAGCUACCGCUAUCAAUGAUCACCUUACAAAUUUUAUCGCCAAAUUUUAUGAAAGUAUGGAAAAUAGAGGUCC